AUGUCAAGGGGGUCCUUUAAGUCCUUAUUUAUUUUUAUUCUGUGGAGAGGGGCUAUCUACGCUAAUGAGAAUUGCAAGCCAGGAACAAAAAAUUUUGGGUGCAAAGGUUUGUAGAUCGACUCCACCAAUCACCAAUCUUAGGUUUGCGGACGAUUGUAUACUGUUUGAAGAGGUUUCAAAUAGGUGAAUUCAGGUGAUUUGAGACAUAUUAAAAGAAUAUGAGCUUUGUUAGGGUCAGUGUGUAAAUUUUAAAAAGUCCACGAGCUUUUUCAGUUCAAAUGUGAAUGAUCAAGAUAAAAACUUGGUUGUUCAGUUUCUUAAUGUUCAUUAUUCGAGUGAGCCAGAGAAGUAUCUGAGUUUACCGAAUAUGGUGGGACGAAAAAAGAAAUUGGCUUUUCAAACCUUGAAGGACAGUUUGAAACAGAAGAUCAACAGUUGGAGUAUACAAUAUAUUUCUCAGGGUGGAAAAGAGAUAUUUAUAAGAGCAGUUUUACAAGCAAUCCCUACUUAUACAAUGUCUUGUUUUCCUUUACCAAAAAUGUUAUGUGUGGCAAAAAAUUCAUAGAAAAAGAGGACUGCACUGGUGUGAUUGGAAAUCGUUAUGCGUUCCAAAGAAGGAAGGUGGGAUGGGGUUCCGUAACAUGAAUCCUUUUAAUAUCGCGUUAUUGGCAAAACAGAGUUGACGCUAAUUCUUUACUAGCGCGUACUUUGAAGGCCAAAUAUUUUAAAAAUUCAGAUUUUUUAAAUUCCAGUUUAGGAAACUUACCUUCUCUUACCUGACAGAGUCUGUGAUCUGCAAAAGAACUCAUUAUGAAGGGAUUGGGGUGGAGGAUUGGUGAUGGGAAGAAUGUCUCUAUCUGGGGAGAUGCAUAGGUCCCUGGAAGUAAUGAUUUCAGAGUUUAAAAUUUAAAUGCCAAUUCAAGUUUGUCCACAGUAUCAGAUUUAAUUGAAGAAAACACGAGAGAAUGAAAAGCAGAGCUGAUAAACAAUACCUUCCUGGCAAAGGAUGCAGAGCGAAUUCUAUGUAUUCCUUUAUCCAUAAACCAGCAAAAAGAUCAUAUAAUCUAGCGAGGCGAGCUGACGGGGGAGUACACAGUUCGGAGCAGGCACAAACUACUUUUACAUGACGAGCAGAAUCAAACACAAUCAAAUUACAGGCAAUUUUACAAAAUAUUAUGGAGCCUUGAUCUACCUCCAAAAAUUAAAAUUACAAACUAGAUGUUUUUUUGUAAUUUUAUGCCUACUUUUUGUAAUCUAAACUAUAAAAGACUGAUGGCAUCCGCAAAUUACCGAAAGUGCCAAAAUGAGGUGGAAACGAGAGAGCAUGUAUUCAAAAAGUGUCCUGUUGCAAAGGAGACGUGGGAAAAGUUAGGUUUUAACUGGCCAACUCCUAAAGAAAAUGCUAGUUUUGAAGAUUGGCUUAAAUGCAUUUUUGAGUCAAACUUUUUGAAUAAAUGUAGGGUGAUUGCAUGUGCUUUGUAGGUGAUUUGGACUUCAAGAAACAGGUUUAUUCAUGAAGGAGAAGAACAAACUGGUUCUCAAAUGGCAGAUUUUAUAACAAACUACAUCAAAGAACUUGAUGGGUUGAGUAUGUGCUUACCAAUGAAUCGACUUCAUUCAAGUAGAUGGGUUGAGCUGACUGAUCCUUGGGUUAGAAUCAAUUUUGAUGCUGCUUUUAACAAGGAAAAGAAUGAUUCAAGCUCGGGAUUAUUGAUACGGAAUGCUCGGGCAGAGGUGAUUUGUUCAAACUCAGUUUUUCAUGAAAAUAUACCUUCUGCUUUUGUUGCGAAAGCAAUGGCGUGUCUUCAGGUGGUCCAUCUCGAGCUAUUUCUCGGGUUGAGGGAAGUUGAGAUUGAAGGUGAUUCUCGGUCGGUGAUUCAGAAACUGUAAGAAGAAAAGGAAGAUAGAUCAGAAAUUGAAGUUUUCAUUAAAGAUACAAAGCAUCUGAGUUUAGGUUUUGAAUCUUGUAUUUUUCGGUUUAUCCCUAGAGAGGCUAACAAGGUUGCACAUUUCAUAGCAAAAGAUGGGUUACAGAAGAGAGAAUCAACUUACUUGCUGGGCAUGGUUACGUCUGGAGUGGUGGAAGCUAUGGUGGUCGAUCGAAGAUGGAUAGAUUCUGUGGGGGACUGAAUCCCCGAAUUUGCUGAAGGAAAGUUUUGGGGAAGAAGUUUUUGAAUAGUUAAGAGGAGUUGUUGUUUUUUAGAAGUUUUUCUGUGGGAAGUGAUGGCUCCUGCAAAAAUUAAUGGAAACAAUUAUGUCUUACUGCGUUUUCCCAGGUGUAUUUGUUGCUUUUGAGGGAUGGGUUUAUUAAUUGGUUCACAGCUGGCUGCAGAAGUCUGUAGAGCUCCCCGUCCUGCUUAGCUGGAUCUUUUGUUAUUUUCGUUUAUGUUUUUCUUUUGCCUGGGCCUGUUAGGCAUAGUUUUAGGCUAUUUUGUUCUGUUUUGUUUGACCCAAGCCUGCUUGGUCUUUUGGAGUUGGUUCGCUUUUGUUGAAUAAAAGAUCCAGAUGUUUUUACUCAAAAAAAAUCC
rnacentral:lncRNA from 1 species